UGUCGUGAUCAGGUCCGCUUCUUC
rnacentral:siRNA from 1 species